AGAUUGCAGGAAGUUUGCCGGCGGAGGAAAGGAGAGAUUUGGCUAGACUUUGGAUAUAUAUACACUGAAAAGGGUGGCGGCGGCUAGAUCUAUUCCGUCCUCGCUUCGUCCUCCGGCCGCCGAGACGAAGAGAUUCACCUCAUCCUCUCACCAUGCAGCCAUGACUUCUUCCUCCUCUCCAUCCCUCUACUCGAUGACAAGCUGAGAUCCGGUCUUCUUCCCUGCUACAGUUGUACUCGACAGCUCAUCCGACGAGGAGGUUAAAGUGGGCUGGUCAUAUCUAGCGCCUGAAGAAGCAAGGCAAGUAUCCACUAGUCUGAAGGAUGUUGGAGACAAAUAUAACAUCAAUGUUGCUGGAAGAGAAUGCCCGUAAGAGAAAGUCGGAUGAUGUGGGAUGGGAGUAUGGGAGUCUAGCCGAUGUUUCCAACAAGGACAAAGUGAAGUGUUUGUUUUGUAACCAUGUGAUCAUUGGAGGUGUUUAUCGUCACAAGCAGCAUGUGGCUCACGUUGGUAAUUUUGUGGCUAAAUGCAAGAAAAGCUCGCAGGAAGCUAAAGAUAGGUGCAGGAAAUCUCUUGAGGAGGCAUCUAAGAAGAGGAGGGAAAAGACUUCCCGUGAGCUAGAGCUCA